UGGGGAAUAUUGCGCAAUGGGGGAAACCCUGACGCAGCGACGCCGUGUGAGGGAAGAAGGCUUUCGGGUCGUAAACCUCUGUCAGGACGGAAGACCCUCUCAAGGCUGAACAAGCCUUGGGACUGACGGUACUUCCAGAGGAAGCACCGGCUACCUCCGUGCCAGCAGCCGCGGUAAUACGGAGGGUGCAAGCGUUAAUCGGAAUCACUGGGCGUAAAGCGCGCGUAGGCCGUCUUUUAAGUCGGACGUGAAAGCCCUCGGCUCAACCUGGGAACUGCGUUCGACACUGGGGGACUGGAGUCCUGGAGAGGGUGGCGGAAGUCCGGGUGUAGGAGUGAAAUCCGUAGAUAUCCGGAGGAACACCGGUGGCGAAGGCGGCCACCUGGACAGGUACUG
rnacentral:rRNA from 1 species